CGCGAGCCUCAAAGUGGAGUAGAGACGCUUCAUGGUUUCGGGCAAAUUUACUAAAUAUUUACUGAUAUCAUAAAUAUUUUACGAUUUAAUUGUUUAUGAUGCGAUUUAAUAACACGGUCUCUCUCCCUCAGCCUCGUCCGAUUGGCAAAUGAGAUCCGUAUCAAUGAAGCUAAUCAAAAUGACUAAAUGGUGAAUUCCCAGAACUUCCCCCGAGGCAUUUUUUUGCAUACCGAAGUUAAAUGUUUGACGGAAACAGAGGGGUGGAGUCAAGCAGAUGAUUGACAGAAAUCACCUGCGAGGAGAAGUGAACGUAAACGGUGAUGGACACCAGAAAAGAUUCAUCAGAACCUCUGGAUCUUAACAAAAAAGUAGAUCGAAAUCACACCCUCUUGAAAUCAGUGAUCUGAGUGCUGGAGAUGAGUUUGUAUCCAGAGGUCAGCGCCGGUCCAGUGGAUAAGACCGCUGAGAAAAGUCUCUUAUCAAAUCUGCAGAAGGACGUUCCUCUGACCUUCACAAACAUUCAGACCCCCACAGAUCCCUCCUCACUGUCCGUACAGUUCAGAUAAUCAUUUAUUUGUUACAUUUAUUUUGUCAAAUUGUGAAGGCUAUGAUUUUCAUGUCAUUUGCGCAUCAACAUAAUAAACAGAAACACAUUUACAGAAAUACACUGAAAUACUUCAGCAAAAUGUCUGUUCUGCUGGAUAAUAGAGCGUUCCCAACCAAACGCGACUUGUGUGAAUAAAUCACGCUAUUCACGCAUAGUUGGACAUUUUGAGUUUUCAAGUUUGGUGGGAACGCUGCA